rnacentral:rRNA from 1 species
UACAGAGGGUGCGAGCGUUAAUCGGAAUUACUGGGCGUAAAGCGCGCGUAGGCGGUUUUGUAAGUCGGGUGUGAAAUCCCCAGGCUCAACCUGGGAACUGCAUUCGAGACUGCAUAGCUAGAGUAUGGAGAGGAAGUGGAAUUUCAGGUGUAGCGGUGAAUGCGUAGAUAUCUGAAGGAACAUCAGUGGCGAAAGCGACUUCCUGGACCAAUACUGACGCUCAUGUGCGAAAGCGUGGGAGCAACAGG